AACGCGAAGAACCUUACCCAGACUUGACAUGCAGAGGAAGACGGCAGAAAUGACGUCGCUCGCAAGAGUCUCUGCACAGGUGCUGCAUGGCUGUCGUCAGCUCGUGCCGUGAGGUGUUGGGUUAAGUCCCGCAACGAGCGCAACCCUUAUCACUAGUUGCCAGCGCGUAAUGGCGGGAACUCUAGUGAGACUGCCCGGGUUAACCGGGAGGAAGGUGAGGACGACGUCAAGUCCGCAUGGCCCUUAUGUCUGGGGCUACACACGUGCUACAAUGGCCGGUACAGAGGGAAGCGAAACCGCGAGGCGGAGCAAAUCCAAAAAGCCGGCCCCAGUUCGGAUUGUAGUCUGCAACUCGACUACAUGAAGUUGGAAUUGCUAGUAAUGGCGUGUCAGCUACAGCGCCGUGAAUACGUUCCCGGGCCUUGUACACACCGCUAGUC
rnacentral:rRNA from 1 species